CAGAUUGAUGUGAAUUUCUCGCCUCCCAGAUCUUCCCCCUCCCAAGAAAAGCGGGCUUAACCAGCAGCGCGGUGCCGUAAGAGAAAUUUCGUUUGCGUUGCUUUUUUUCGAUGAGUCUUCGCUGAUUUGUAAUGCAGUUUUGGCAGCAAGGAUAAUGAAUUCAACGCUUGUGUUGCCGGUAAAA